UGUUAAUGCUCUUAAAGUUUCCUUAAAUAAAUUCAAAAACCAAUACGCUAAAAUAAAUUUACUUCAUUGUUCUGUUGGAGAUGUUUCACAAAACCACGUGGAACUUGCGGUUGCUGCUAAAGCCACUCUCAUCGCGUUUAACGUUAAUAUCGAUAAAAAGUUGCAGUCUUUGAUCAAAAAAAAUAACGUGGAAGUUUUGAACUCUAACAUUAUAUAUAAUAUUAUUGAUGCCGUCACUCAGAAGUUUCAAGAAGCAAUGCCAGUCUUAGAAAAAAAAGUUCUUACAGGCUCUGGAAUAAUAAAAGAGAUCUUUAAACUCCACGGAAAAAAUGCAAACAUUGUAGCUGGCUGUAGUGUAAACAGCGGCUACUUUAUAAGUGACGGCUUAUACGUAAUAAAACGGGGCACUCUUAUUAUAUUCGAAGGAAGGCUUAUUAGUUUAAAACAUUUCAAAUCAGAAGUUUCUAAAGUUAAUACUGGUAAAGACUGCGGUCUAC